rnacentral:lncRNA from 1 species
UAACUACUACAAGAUACAUAAGCAUCAACCUCAAAGAAUUAAUAGCCUUUUGGAACAUAAGAACAACAAGAAUUACGGUCAAUGCUCUCUUUGCUUACAAACAAAAAACAGUCAAUACUCUCAGAAAUUGUGUUCUAAAGCUUGAAAAUCAAGUCAUGGUAAAAGUGAAGUUAGAUAAAUUCUAUAAUAUCUUGCAGUUAGGACUUAGGAUGUAAACAAGUAAUUUCUACAAAGCUAACUAUUGAGUAAAUG